rnacentral:rRNA from 1 species
UACGAAGGGUGCAAGCGUUAAUCGGAAUUACUGGGCGUAAAGCGUGCGUAGGCGGUUUUGUAAGUCUGUCGUGAAAGCCCCGGGCUCAACCUGGGAAUUGCGAUGGAGACUGCAAGGCUUGAAUCUGGCAGAGGGGGGUAGAAUUCCACGUGUAGCAGUGAAAUGCGUAGAGAUGUGGAGGAACACCGAUGGCGAAGGCAGCCCCCCUGGGUCAGAUUGACGCUCAUGCACGAAAGCGUGGGGAGCAAACAGG